GAUGAACGCUGGCGGCGUGCCUAAUACAUGCAAGUCGAGCGAACGGACGAGAAGCUUGCUUCUCUGAUGUUAGCGGAGGACGGGUGAGUAACACGUGGAUAACCUACCUAUAAGACUGGGAUAACUUCGGGAAACCGGAGCUAAUACCGGAUAAUAUUUUGAACCGCAUGGUUCAAAAGUGAAAGACGGUCUUGCUGUCACUUAUAGAUGGAUCCGCGCUGCAUUAGCUAGUUGGUAAGGUAACGGCUUACCAAGGCAACGAUGCAUAGCCGACCUGAGAGGGUGAUCGGCCACACUGGAACUGAGACACGGUCCAGACUCCUACGGGAGGCAGCAGUAGGGAAUCUUCCGCAAUGGGCGAAAGCCUGACGGAGCAACGCCGCGUGAGUGAUGAAGGUCUUCGGAUCGUAAAACUCUGUUAUUAGGGAAGAACAUAUGUGUAAGUAACUGUGCACAUCUUGACGGUACCUAAUCAGAAAGCCACGGCUAACUACGU
rnacentral:rRNA from 1 species